CCUACGGGAGGCAGCAGUGGGGAAUAUUGGACAAUGGGCGAAAGCCUGAUCCAGCCAUGCCGCGUGUGUGAAGAAGGCCAUCGGGUUGUAAAGCACUUUCAGUGGGGAAGAAAGCCUUGGGGCUAAUACCCUCGAGGAAGGACAUCACCCACAGAAGAAGCACCGGCUAACUCCGUGCCAGCAGCCGCGGUAAUACGGAGGGUGCGAGCGUUAAUCGGAAUUACUGGGCGUAAAGCGCGCGUAGGCGGUCUGAUAAGCCGGUUGUGAAAGCCCCGGGCUCAACCUGGGAACGGCAUCCGGAACUGUCAGGCUAGAGUGCAGGAGAGGAAGGUAGAAUUCCCGGUGUAGCGGUGAAAUGCGUAGAGAUCGGGAGGAAUACCAGUGGCGAAGGCGGCCUUCUGGACUGACACUGACGCUGAGGUGCGAAAGCGUGGGUAGCAAACAGGAUUAGAUACCCCAGUAGUC
rnacentral:rRNA from 1 species